CACGUAGGGGGCAAGCGUUGUCCGGAUUCAUUGGGCGUAAAGAGCUCGUAGGCGGUUCGAUAAGUCGGGUGUGAAACCUCCAGGCUCAACCUGGAGACGCCACCCGAUACUGUCGUGACUAGAGUCCAGUAGGGGAGCGUGGAAUUCCUGGUGUAGCGGUGAAAUGCGCAGAUAUCAGGAGGAACACCAAUUGCGAAGGCAGCUCGCUGGGACGUUACUGACGCUGAGACGCGAAAGCGUGGGGAGCAAACGGG
rnacentral:rRNA from 1 species